CGCACCUAGAAACAAAAAGUGUGGGUGUGAACGGAUAGGAAAAAAAGAACACUCACAAGGACUAAAACAUUCAUCCCAACCCUUGUGACAGAUACCUGUGAGCACACCGGUGUCCAUGGGGAGAAAACGACGAGCGUAAUCUGAAACCAGACUGCUGCCGUGCCCUUCAUCAUCAGCUGGGAUCUGAUACUUGCGAAAGUUCCAAUUCCACAACUUGGGGAUGUUUCUGCAGCUUUUUCCCAAUUCCAGCCGGGACAUGCUCUUCAUAUAUGAAAAUAAUCCACUGUAUCCCCUACCGAUGUGUGAUAACGCCUUCUGUUUACAGUCAUCCACCGAUGAAAUGUUGGUAUCGUGUGGCGCGUUUUGUUCUGCUGCCUUCUAAGCCUGGGAGGCAAUAGAGAGAAUCCCCCAAACAAGUUGUUUUAAUUAGUAUUAAUUCAUUACAGGAAUCAUUAAAAAACGUGCAAGUUGUUUUUUCCAAGCGUUUUGGGGUUUGGCAGACAUGCCAGACAGCCCCAUUAACUGGUAGAACACCUAACAAAGUGGAUAUCCUCUUUAAUGCAUUAUCUCAUUGAUGUCAGUAGCUGUGUGCUGCAUCACGUGGACAGCUCGAUUUUAAUUCUGACAAAAUUGUGCAUUUAUGCAUUUCCUCUUCGGCUGAAAAACAAAUCUAAAUCUAAUAAAAUACACAUGAUAAUCUGA